rnacentral:rRNA from 1 species
GACGAACGCUGGCGGCGUGCUUAACACAUGCAAGUCGAACGGUAAGGCCCUUCGGGGUACACGAGUGGCGAACGGGUGAGUAACACGUGGGUGAUCUGCCCUGCACUUCGGGAUAAGCCUGGGAAACUGGGUCUAAUACCGGAUAGGACUCCUGGCUUCAUGGUUGGGGGUGUAAAGCUUUUGCGGUGUGGGAUGGGCCCGCGGCCUAUCAGCUUGUUGGUGGGGUAAUGGCCUACCAAGGCGACGACGGGUAGCCGGCCUGAGAGGGUGACCGGCCACACUGGGACUGAGAUACGGCCCAGACUCCUACGGGAGGCGGCAGUGGGGAAUAUUGCACAAUGGGCGCAAGCCUGAUGCAGCGACGCCGCGUGAGGGAUGACGGCCUUCGGUUGUAACUCUUCUAUAGGACGAAG